GAUGAACGCUGGCGGCGUGCUUAACACAUGCAAGUCGAACGAAGCAAUUUAUUACGAUCCCUUCGGGGUGACGAUUUAUUGACUGAGUGGCGGACGGGUGAGUAACGCGUGGGUAACCUACCUUGUACAGGGGGACAACAGUUGGAAACGACUGCUAAUACCGCAUAAGCGCACGGUAUCGCAUGAUGCAGUGUGAAAAGUUUUUUCGGUACAAGAUGGACCCGCGUCUGAUUAGCUAGUUGGUGAGGUAACGGCUCACCAAGGCGACGAUCAGUAGCCGACCUGAGAGGGUGACCGGCCACAUUGGGACUGAGACACGGCCCAAACUCCUACGGGAGGCAGCAGUGGGGAAUAUUGCACAAUGGGCGCAAGCCUGAUGCAGCGACGCCGCGUGAGCGAAGAAGUAUUUCGGUAUGUAAAGCUCUAUCAGCAGGAAGAUAAUGACGUAC
rnacentral:rRNA from 1 species